AGAGUUUGAUCCUGGCUCAGGAUGAACGCUGGCGGUAUGCCUAACACAUGCAAGUCGAACGGGAAUCUCCGGAUUCUAGUGGCGGACGGGUGAGUAACGCGUGAGAACCUGGCUUCAGGACGGGGACAACAGUUAGAAAUGACUGCUAAUACCGGAUAAGCCGAGAGGUAAAAGAUUUAUCGCCUGAAGAUGAGCUCGCGUCUGAUUAGCUAGUUGGGGGGGUAAGAGCCCACCAAGGCAACGAUCAGUAGCUGGUCUGAGAGGAUGAGCAGCCACACUGGGACUGAGACACGGCCCAGACUCCUACGGGAGGCAGCAGUGGGGAAUUUUCCGCGAUGGGCGCAAGCCUGACGGAGCAAUACCGCGUGAGGGAAGAAGGCUUUUGGGUUGUAAACCUCUUUUCUCAGGGAAGAAGCAAUGACGGUACCUGAGGAAUCAGCAUCGGCUAACUCCGUGCCAGCAGCCGCGGUAAUACGGAGGAUGCAAGCGUUAUCCGGAAUUAUUGGGCGUAAAGCGUCCGCAGGUGGCUAGUCAAGUCUGCGGUCAAAGACAGAAGCUAAACUUCUGGAAGGCCGUGGAAACGGGCAAGCUAGAGUACGGUAGGGGUAGAGGGAAUUCCCAGUGUAGCGGUGAAAUGCGUAGAGAUUGGGAAGAMCACCAGUGGCGAAAGCGCUCUWCUGGGCCUGUACUGACACUGAGGGACGAAAGCUAGGGGAGCGAAAGGGGAUUAGAUACCCCUGUAGUCCUAGCGGUAAACGAUGGAUACUAGGSGUAGCUUGUAUCGACCCGAAGCUGUGCCGAAGCUAACGCGUUAAGUAUCCCCGCCUGGGGGAGUACGCACGCAAGUGUGAAACUCAAAGGGAAUUGACCGGGGGCCCGCACAAGCGGUGGAGUAUGUGGUUUAAUUCGAUGCAACGCGAAGAACCUUACCAGGGCUUGACAUCUGGCGAAUCUUGAGGAAACUUGAGAGUGCCUUCGGGAGCGCCAAGACAGGUGGUGCAUGGCUGUCGUCAGCUCGUGUCGUGAGAUGUUGGGUUAAGUCCCGCAACGAGCGCAACCCUCGUGCCUAGUUGCCAGCAUUAAGUUGGGAACUCUAGGGAGACUGCCGGUGACAAACCGGAGGAAGGUGGGGAUGACGUCAAGUCAGCAUGCCCCUGAUGUUCUGGGCUACACACGUACUACAAUGGUCGGGACAAAGGGCAGCGAGCUUGAGAAAGUAAGCGAAUCUCAGCAAACCCGGCCUCAGUUCAGAUUGCAGGCUGCAACUCGCCUGCAUGAAGGAGGAAUCGCUAGUAAUCGCAGGUCAGCAUACUGCGGUGAAUUAGAAUCCCGGGCCUUGCUCCCUCUACCCGAAACACCCCAUGGAAGCUGGCCACGCCCGAAGUCGUUACUCCAACCAUACUGGGGAGGACGCGAAGGGAUCUGUGCUGGGGUGAAGUCGUAUAAGGUAGAAGGCCUCUUCUGUGGCUGAAUCACCUCCU
rnacentral:rRNA from 1 species